GCAGAGAGGGAGACCGAAGGAGAGAGCGCAGAGAGGGAGAAUGUGUCUGCGCACAGCCAAAAUUGGUCAGAAAGGGGAGUAAAGUGGGACACGAGCUUCAAAGUAGGGAAACCAAAGAAGGGAGCAUCCACGUCCUCUCUCUGCAGCUUCUCCCCCGCGUUCUUCGGGCGAAUCCGAGGGACGGGCGCUGCGCUGGGGAAAGUUUGUCCCACCCGCGUUUCGCAGCUGGUUGCAAGGAGAGGAGGAGGAGAGGGAGGGUCAAGCUCGGAGCCUGUGACCGCACGGAUGAUCGAGCCGGCGUCGCGCUUACCUCGCAGUCCUCGUACUUGAUAUUAUCCGUCAAUUUCCAAAGCAUUUUCAUGGAUCGGCGUGAACGGAUAUGCCCCUCUCGGUCUCGCACCCAAGUGGAGCUACUCUCUGGCUCUUUACCAACAGCCUAAUCGCCUCAUUAGCAUAUCAACAAUAGUCCAAUUGCUCGCCAGUACCACAAUCUGCCGCCGGCCGCUCCGACACAGGUAUAAAGGCCUCUCUACGCCGCGAACUUGCUUCUAGAGCGCACUCCAGCCUGCGAACUGAUAAAACCUUCCUCGAGCUCCGCCGCGAGGCCCUGCCCCAACACCCCCUCUCUUACCCCAAUUCCGCCACAUUCCCCUUCCUUUCUUUCUCCGCUUCCUUUUCUCCAGAGAUGCCUUCUGCAAAGCCCGGCACUGCUCAAGGUCCAAGCGCCACGCCUGGGGCCCAGCUUCUAGCACUUCUCCCUUAACCCUGCUACCACGAUCCGAGCUGCCCUUUUGGCCCCGUGCAAUUUUAUUAGAAAUCAUUAUCCCUUUCGCAAUUAAACAUAACCACCAAACCAAGACCGGCGAAGUCACUCCAGGAUUUUUUCCCAACAAGGGAUCGCCUCCGCUCGAGGCAGCCACCCCCUCGGGCCGCAGCGCCUUGGGAGUUUUAUUGGCUUUGAGCUUUCCCCCAGGUUGGAGAUUCUGCCAAGCGGCUCCGGUGGCUCUGCUGGGGUUUGCAAUCCCUUAAUUGCAGCGUGUAAAAUAAAAGUUGUACCCUGAAGAGGUUACUUGACAGCUCCAGGGGUUAAACAAUUUUUCUCCUGUUUGUGUGAAGCUAGGGCCAACUGACAGUUCAAAUUGGUGUUCAGGCUAAGGUUUCCUGGGUGCAACGUGGACACGAAUACAGAACUCCUAUGGAACUGCACACCCGCUUCUGAAGUUGAGCCUAAAAACAGACGUGUGUGUGCCUGCAAGUCUAGAUACCGUCUCGUGCGUGCAUCAAAAUAAAUCACCGGGAACCGAAAAAAAAA
rnacentral:lncRNA from 1 species